AAUUUCUGGAAGUAUUUCUCGAAACCAGUAUAUGCGAAUUGGAACAAGAGUGUAAAAGCUUCUGACUUUACGUCAGUGCAUUCAUAAUUUUCAUUCGUUGAUUUUCAAACAUUCCAAGACGAAAACUGAAAGUUCGACUAUAAAAAAUUAUCUGAACUAGUGUGUACCGGUAUUCCGAUAUUCCAAAUCAAUUUGAACAAACUUCGCUAUAUACCUAGUCAGCAGAAAUCCUUGCUUCCACAGAAGAGACUUGGAGUCGACAAAAUUUUUGAUUGAAAAUGCAGAUUUCUUAUACUACAACCAAGAAAAUGGGACUACACCAGCGUCUUUUCUCUUUAAGAAAAAAGGUUAAUUGCUGAUUGACGAUAAGCUGUCUUGGCGAUUUCAUAUAGAAAAACUGAAAAACAAACUUGCUCCAAUGAUAGGUGCUGUAAGGAGAUGCGCCAACUUCCUAAAUGAUCGUGCCAGAAGGGUGAUAUAUGAAAGUUUUAUAGCGUCACAACUUAGAUACAUGAUAGUUUGUUGGGGAAACGCACCAAAAUACCUAAUGGAGCAGAUCCAACGGUAUCAAAACAGAGCAGUCAAGGCAGUGUACGCAUUAGAUUAUUUUACAUCGACAGACAGCCUAUACACUAAUACAUCAAUAUUUAACAUUGAAAAAAUGAGAGCUUAUGAACAAGUCAAACUAAUAUAUAACA